GAUGAACGCUAGCGGCAGGCCUAACACAUGCAAGUCGAGGGGCAGCACGGGUAGCAAUACCUGGUGGCGACCGGCGCACGGGUGAGUAACGCGUAUGCAACCUGCCCCCGUCUGGGGAAUAGCCCGUCGAAAGGCGGAUUAAGGCCCCAUGGUUCCCUUCACCGGCAUCAGAGGGGGGAUAAAGGUUACGGACGGGGAUGGGCAUGCGUGCCAUUAGCUAGUUGGGGGGGUAACGGCCCACCAAGGCGACGAUGGCUAGGGGAGCUGAGAGGCUGAACCCCCCANACUGGUACUGAGACACGGACCAGACUCCUACGGGAGGCAGCAGUGAGGAAUAUUGGUCAAUGGGCGGAAGCCUGAACCAGCCAUGCCGCGUGCAGGAAGACGGCCCUACGGGUUGUAAACUGCUUUUCUGCGGGAAGAACGGCCCUUACGUGUAAAGGUGUGACGGUACCGCAGGAAUAAGGAUCGGCUAACUCCGUGCCAGCAGCCGCGGUAAUGUCUGUACU
rnacentral:rRNA from 1 species